UCACAGUUUGCACUGGCAGUCUGGUUAGAGUUCCCGACUUGACUCGCUGGCAACUAACCACAGGGGUUGCGCUCGUUAUAGGACUUAACCUGACACCUCACGGCACGAGCUGACGACAACCAUGCAGCACCUUGUAACUUGCCCGAAGGAAAAGGUGUUUCCACCCCUGUCAAUCCCCAUUUAAGCCCUGGUAAGGUUCCUCGCAUAUCAUCGAAUUAAACCACAUGCUCCACCGCUUGUGCGGGCCCUCGUCAAUUCCUUUGAGUUUCAUUCUUGCGAACGUACUCCCCAGGCGGGGUGCUUAAUGCGUUAGCUUCGGCACGGACGGAGUCGACACCGCCCACACCUAGUUCCCAUCGUUUACGGCGUGGACUAC
rnacentral:misc_RNA from 1 species